AUGGCAGCGGUGCCGCAUGUCGUGGUGAUCACCUUCCCCUUCGCCUCCCACGCGGUGAAGCUGUUCCGCCUGGCGCGCGCCCUGACCGCGGCGGCACCGGACGCGACCUUCUCCUUCCUUUCCACCGCCGGCUCCAUCGCGCAGCUGCAAGAGAAGAACCGGGAUGCCCUCGAGGCCAACCUGCGCUUCGCGGAGGUGCCGGACGGGUUCGUGCCACCGAGCUCUGGUGGUGACGGGCUGGCGCCGCCGCCGAACCAUAUGGUGCGUCUGGGGCUCUUUAUUGUGGCUGCAGAGGCUGGCGGCAUGAGGGUGGCACUGGAGCCGGCUCGCGUUGCCGCCGGCGGCGCCAGGGUCACCUGUGUCGUCGGGGACGCGUUCGUCUGGAUGGCCGCCGAGGCUGCCGCUGCGACGGGGGCGCCAUGGGUCCCGGUCUGCACCGGCGGUCCCAGCGCGCUCCUUGCGCACCUCCAAGGUGACGCGCUGCGCCACGACAUCGGCGACAAAGCGGUGAGCCGGGCGGAUGAGCUGCUGACCUCGCACCCGGGCCUCGGAAGCUACCGCGUCCGGGACCUCCCCGACGGCUGCGUCUUCGGCGAGAUGCACCUGCCGAUUGUCGCCCUCUUCCGUCGCGUGGCCGAGCAGCUCCACGUUCCCCGUGCCGCCACCGCCGUGGCCUUGAACACCUUCCCAGGCCUCCUCCCCAACGACGUCAACGCCGUUCUCGCCGCGGAGCUCCCGGAGGUCCUCUCGAUUGGCCCCUUCCACCUUCUCCCAGUCCCCGGCGACGGCGACAAGGCCACCGCCACCGCGGCCGACCCACACAGAUGCCUCGCCUGGCUCGACGGCCACCCGGCCGGUGCCGUCGCGUACGCCAGCUUCGGCACGGUCGUCACCGCCGUGGUAGAAGGGCAGGAGGAGCUGCGCGAGCUCACGGCCGGGCUGGAGGCGUCCGGCGCGCCGUUCCUCUGA
rnacentral:rRNA from 1 species